rnacentral:rRNA from 1 species
UAUUACAACUUUCAGCAAUGGAUCUNUUGGCUCUCGCAUCGAUGAAGAACGCAGCGAAACGCGAUAUGUAAUGUGAAUUGCAGAUCUACAGUGAAUCAUCGAAUCUUUGAACGCACCUUGCGCUCCUUGGUAUUCCGAGGAGCAUGCCUGUUUGAGUGUCAGU